rnacentral:tRNA from 1 species
UUCCAGUUAGUCUAGGAGGUUAGGAUGCCAGGUUUUCACCCUGGAGACACGGGUUCGAGUCCCGUAUUGGAAA